AAAUUGAAGAGUUUGAUCAUGGCUCAGAUUGAACGCUGGCGGCAGGCCUAACACAUGCAAGUCGAGCGGUAGCACAGAGAGCUUGCUCUCGGGUGACGAGCGGCGGACGGGUGAGUAAUGUCUGGGAAACUGCCUGAUGGAGGGGGAUAACUACUGGAAACGGUAGCUAAUACCGCAUAACGUCGCAAGACCAAAGUGGGGGACCUUCGGGCCUCAUGCCAUCAGAUGUGCCCAGAUGGGAUUAGCUAGUAGGUGGGGUAACGGCUCACCUAGGCGACGAUCCCUAGCUGGUCUGAGAGGAUGACCAGCCACACUGGAACUGAGACACGGUCCAGACUCCUACGGGAGGCAGCAGUGGGGAAUAUUGCACAAUGGGCGCAAGCCUGAUGCAGCCAUGCCGCGUGUGUGAAGAAGGCCUUCGGGUUGUAAAGCACUUUCAGCGGGGAGGAAGGCGGUGAGGUUAAUAACCUCACCGAUUGACGUUACCCGCAGAAGAAGCACCGGCUAACUCCGUGCCAGCAGCCGCGGUAAUACGGAGGGUGCAAGCGUUAAUCGGAAUUACUGGGCGUAAAGCGCACGCAGGCGGUCUGUCAAGUCGGAUGUGAAAUCCCCGGGCUCAACCUGGGAACUGCAUUCGAAACUGGCAGGCUAGAGUCUUGUAGAGGGGGGUAGAAUUCCAGGUGUAGCGGUGAAAUGCGUAGAGAUCUGGAGGAAUACCGGUGGCGAAGGCGGCCCCCUGGACAAAGACUGACGCUCAGGUGCGAAAGCGUGGGGAGCAAACAGGAUUAGAUACCCUGGUAGUCCACGCUGUAAACGAUGUCGAUUUGGAGGUUGUGCCCUUGAGGCGUGGCUUCCGGAGCUAACGCGUUAAAUCGACCGCCUGGGGAGUACGGCCGCAAGGUUAAAACUCAAAUGAAUUGACGGGGGCCCGCACAAGCGGUGGAGCAUGUGGUUUAAUUCGAUGCAACGCGAAGAACCUUACCUGGUCUUGACAUCCACAGAACUUUCCAGAGAUGGAUUGGUGCCUUCGGGAACUGUGAGACAGGUGCUGCAUGGCUGUCGUCAGCUCGUGUUGUGAAAUGUUGGGUUAAGUCCCGCAACGAGCGCAACCCUUAUCCUUUGUUGCCAGCGGU
rnacentral:rRNA from 1 species